AGUGAACGCUGGCGGUAGGCCUAACACAUGCAAGUCGAACGGCAGCACAGUAAGAGCUUGCUCUUACGGGUGGCGCGUGGCGGACGGGUGAGGAAUACAUCGGAAUCUACUUUUUCGUGGGGGAUCACGUAGGGAAACUUACGCUAAUACCGCAUACGACCUACGGGUGAAAGCAGGGGAUCUUCGGACCUUGCGCGAUUGAAUGAGCCGAUGUCGGAUUAGCUAGUUGGCGGGGUAAAGGCCCACCAAGGCGACGAUCCGUAGCUGGUCUGAGAGGAUGAUCAGCCACACUGGAACUGAGACACGGUCCAGACUCCUACGGGAGGCAGCAGUGGGGAAUAUUGGACAAUGGGCGCAAGCCUGAUCCAGCCAUACCGCGUGGGUGAAGAAGGCCUUCGGGUUGUAAAGCCCUUUUGUUGGGAAAGAAAAGCAGCAGGUUAAGACCCCGCUGUUCUGACGGUACCCAAAGAAUAAGCACCGGCUAACUUCGUG
rnacentral:rRNA from 1 species